rnacentral:rRNA from 1 species
AACGUAGGACGCAAGCGUUAUCCGGAGUUACUGGGCGUAAAGCGCGGGCAGGCGGCUCGAAACGUCUGAUGUGAAAUCUCCUCGCUCAACGGGGAGAGGCCGUUGGAAACGGUCGAGCUGGAGGGCAGUAGAGGUAGGCGGAAUUCCGGGUGGAGUGGUGAAAUGCGUAGAGAUCCGGAGGAACACCAGAGGCGAAGGCGGCCUACUGGGCUGCACCUGACGCUGAGCCGCGAAAGCCAGGGGAGCGAACGGG